rnacentral:rRNA from 1 species
AACGAACGCUGGCGGCAGGCCUAACACAUGCAAGUCGAGCGCCCUUUCGGGGGUGCGGCGGACGGGUGGGUAACGCGUGGGAAUAUGCCCUUCUCUACGGAAUAGCCUCGGGAAACUGAGAGUAAUACCGUAUACGCCCUAUGGGGGAAAGGUUUAUCGGGGAAGGAUUAGCCCGCGUUGGAUUAGGUGGUUGGUGGGGUGAUGGCCUACCAAGCCGACGAUCCAUAGCUGGUUUGAGAGGAUGAUCAGCCACACUGGGACUGAGACACGGCCCAGACUCCUACGGGAGGCAGCAGUGGGGAGUCCUAGACGAUGGGGGCAACCCUGAUCUAGCCAUGCCGGGUGAGUGAUGAAGGCCUUAGGGUUGUAAAGCUCUUUCAGCUGGGAAGAUAAUGACGGUACCAGCAGAAGAAGCCCCGGCUAACUACGUG